UNCGAGAUUUGUCCACGUCACCAUGAGUUAAAAUUUAACUCACAGAUUCACUCAUGAGUUAAAAUUUACUGGGAGUUAAAUUUUAACUCAUGCUGAUGUGGACGAAUCUUGGA
rnacentral:pre_miRNA from 1 species